rnacentral:miRNA from 1 species
AUCCAGUCUACGGCCAUACCACCCUGAACAUGCCCAAUCUCGUCUGCUCUCGGAAGCUAAGCAGGGUCGGGCCUGGUUAGUACUUGGAUG